rnacentral:rRNA from 1 species
GUACACGCUGUGACUAGCAUAUCAAUAAGCGGAGGAAAAGAAACUAACAAGGAUUCCCCUAGUAACGGCGAGUGAAGCGGGAAGAGCUCAAAUUUGAAAUCUUAAAGGGUUUCCCUUUACGAAUUGUAGUUUAAAGAAGUGUUUUCUGUUGAGGUUUUGGUAAAAGUUCUUUGGAAUAGGACAUCAUAGAGGGUGAGAAUCCCGUAUUUGACCUUUACUUUCAACUUUGUGAUACACUUUCAAAGAGUCGGAUUGUUUGGGAAUGCAGUCCAAAAUGGGUGGUAAAUUUCAUCUAAAGCUAAAUAUUGGCGAGAGACCGAUAGCGAACAAGUACCGUGAGGGAAAGAUGAAAAGAACUUUGAAAAGAGAGUUAAACAGUACGUGAAAGUUGUCAAAAGGGAAGCGUUUGACACCAGUGUUGUUUUUUCUGAAAAUCAAUUAAAGAACUGUUUAUGCUAAGUUGUUUAGACUUUAUCAGCUAACUGUUUAGUUUUGAGCUUUUCUUUAAUGCACUUUUCAGUUAACAAGUCAACAUCAAUUUCUUUUGCUGUAAAAAAGCUUGAGGAAGGUGGCUUGAGAUUCGUCUUAAGUGUUUAUAGCCUCUUGCCUAUGCAGUCGGAGAGAUUGAGGUCUGCAGCGUAGAUCCUUCGGGGCUAAAUGCAUUUGUGCUAAGUUAUAGCAUUUUAUAGACAACUUGUUGACUAUGAUUUGUCUUGUAGCUUACUCGCUUAUGUUAUUUUACCUACGCUUAGGAUGUUGACAGCAGUAUAGACUGU